CGUUGCCGGUCAGGACAGCUUCUGCACUGUCCGCGAACCCUAGCUAAACAGCUCUGCAUCCGCUACCUACUCCGGCAUUGGCACAUCCUACGUCCACGGAAAUGCCUCUUUUGUGUCGAUGCAUUUCCGAACCGCCGUUGUCUCCCCUUGAGACUCGAGCCGUCCUUCACCCGUCGCCGGCAGAGCUGGGAGCACGUCCGUGCGCGCGUGGUCAUGGGUCUCCAUCUCCUCCACUAGCAUCUCCGCAAUUUAUACAUCCUGACCACACCAAUCGCAUCCAGAAGUAUGAGUGUUGCAUUGCAUCUCUAUCCAUAAGGUGGACAUUUAAUCGUUCCUAGGUUUUGAAGGGAGCAUGUGGCCUGCAUAUUCGAGAAGACAGGCCCUGAAGCCGCAGAUCGCCAGCUGACGAUUUCUGAGUCCAACGUAAAUGGAGCAAUCAUCGGAAGUGCAACGGUGAAGCAGUAGGCUAAUGUGAGACUCUGACUGAAGGUUUGAAGUACAUUUAAUUAACCUAAUCAUGUAGGAGUAUUUGGUUUGUGUAAUCUUUCUUAUUGUGUGAUGGCUGCUGCAUAUUUGGGAAUUGACCACAGUUUAGUUUAACAUAUACCACGGCUCAGUUUUUUUUAUUAA